rnacentral:rRNA from 1 species
GUCCACGCCGUAAACGAUGAAUGCCAGUCGUCGGGUUGCUUGCAACUCGGUGACACACCUAACGGAUUAAGCAUUCCGCCUGGGGAGUACGGUCGCAAGAUUAAAACUCAAAGGAAUUGACGGGGGCCCCGCACAAGCGGUGGAGCAUGUGGUUUAAUUCGAAGCAACGCGCAGAACCUUACCAACCCUUGACAUCCCCUGACCGGUCCAGAGAUGGACUUUUCCCGUAAGGGACAGGGAGACAGGUGCUGCAUGGCUGUCGU